AUCCGCAGAUCAGCUGCAGAUCAGUUACGUGUAUGUCGCGGAGAGAGUUUAAGUUGUUCCGUAGCCAGUGAGGGUUCUUGAUCUCCAGCCAGGCGUCUUUUCUUGACUGAAUUAUUUUGCUGUUUUGUAGCACUGGUAACGCUACUCGUAAACGAUACUGCUACUAGUGAACAGAGAAACACGACUGUCGCAGUUCUAGGCAAAGGAAGCAGUUUUGGGGAAUUGGCAUUGCUUCACCACAAAACUCGAAGUGCGACAGUUUUGUGCAAAGACGAAGUCUCUCUUCUAGCUGUUUGCAGGGAGGAUUUCCGUGAUAUUUUUAUGAGUUACGAGGACGGUAGAGAGCCCGAACAUAUCCGCUUUUUAAGAAGUGUUCCUUAUUUGAAAGAUCUUCCACUAGACGAUUUAACUACCAAGCACGAUGUCUGUAUAUUUCAUUACUUCAGACGAGGCGUGGUUAUAGUGAAAGAAAGCAAGACGAAAUGGAUCUACGUGGUAAAAACGGUACGUAUAUAUAAGCCAAUGAAAUAUGUCAUCAUUUGAUGCAUUUUGGGUAAAAUACAUGUUAGAGGAUCUCAAUGCGGUUAACCGUUAGC